GCCAGGCAUGGUGGCUCAUGCCUGUAAUCCCAGCUACUGGGGAGGCUGAGGCAGAAGUAUCAUAAGUUCAAAGCCAGUCUCAGCAACUAAGUGAGGCCCUAAGUAACUCAGUGAGACCCUGUCUCUA
rnacentral:sRNA from 1 species